UAGUCACGAAUGCUUCAAUUGAAACUACCGAGAUACUAUCAGCGAACUGAAACGAAUAGUUGUAAGUUACCAGUGUCCAACUAAUUAGUACCUAUCAAAGGUUGAUUUGGAUGACAAUGACAGCCGAUACCGAUCUGGCGUUCGUCAUAAUUACAGAUUUACUUUAAACGUUUCACGACCUCGUACUCGCAUGUAUGUUUUUAAUUGGAGAAGCCGCCAAAGAUUAUUAUUGUGAGGACCACCAAGAUUAAUCUACGUGCACGAUACCUAUAGUGAUAUCUUGAUAACUAUAUGUCAUCCAUCAUGGUUUUAAGUGAACGACACUUUCUUUAAUGAACCGACUAACAUGACAGCCUUUGUAGGAGUGACCUGCACCAACGAACUAUUAUAAUUAUUAUUUUAUAAUUGCGUGAUUAUAAGAUUCAAUAAAAAUUAUAUUCCUGUA